GCGAAUGAUAGAGGUUGUUGGGACGCAAUGUUCUCAGCCUAUCUCAAACUUCGAAUUGGGUAAGCAAGGCGUUUUGCUUUGAUUUUACGAUGAAAUCGCCCAAUUAGAAUGUAUAAAUGCCUAGUGGGCCAAUUUUGGUAAGCAGAACUGGCGAUGUGGAAUGAACCAAAAGUCAGGUUAAGGUGCCAGACAUUGGCGCUCAUGAAAUACCAGAAAAGGUGUUGGUCGAUAUAGACAGCAGGACGGUGGCCAUGGAAGUUGGAAUCCGCCAAGGAGUGUGUAACAACUCACCUGCCGAAUCGACUAGCCCUGAAAAUGGAUAGCGUUUGAGCUCCAGGCCCAUACCUGACCGUCUCAAUUACGCACUUUUUUUUCGGAAAAGGUGUAAUGAACGUUGAGACGGGUAGGAAGGUCGCGACAGUGUUGCUUUGAAGAGUUUUGAGCGUGAGCUCGCUCGGAGCCGCUGUUGGUGCAGAUCUUGGUGGUAGUAGCAAAUAUUCAAGUGAGAACCUUGAAGGCUGAAGUGGAGCAAGGUUCCAUGUGAACAGCAGUUGGACAUGGGUCAGUCGAUCCUAAGAAAACGGCGAAAGCUUGUUCGAAUUUGCGACAUGAAUUGUAAGACUGAAUAAUUAUUUGUGUGUGUGUUGUGGUGGAGGCGAUUGUGUCGUCACCAGUUGUUGUUGUGUGCAGUUGUCGUAUGUUUUCGAAAGGGAAUCCGGUUGAUAUUCCGGAACCGAGUAACGGAGACAAAGAGUAGCGCUUUAAUCUCUCUGUGGGGUUGGCGUUCAACUCAAUCGCGCGGUAACGCAAGCGAACUCGGAAAAUGACCGUCGGAAUCCACCACAGUGCGA
rnacentral:ncRNA from 1 species